rnacentral:lncRNA from 10 species
CCUUGUCUAAGGUCAACAAGUCCGUUAGGGUUGGAACUAACUGACGACAGACGAAGCCGUCCUAACCCCUGAAAUCUACAAGUAGUCCAGGAAGAGGGGGAGAAGAUCCCUUUAGGUGUGAAGGAAGAAUGGACUGGAAAGUAGAGACCCUGAGAUCCAGGACGGAAGGAGGGAAGAGGCUCGCUUGACUGUCAUAAGCUUCAUUUUGCUGAAACAGACCCCAGAAAGGGCAGUGAUGAGAGAUGAGGCCACAAUACAGGAUAUCCAAUUAUUUCAGCAUCACUUGCUAAAAAUACUUUCCUUUCGUCUUUGGAUUCCACUGGCAACUUUAUUGAAAAAUCAGAUAACUAUGAUGGAGUCUUUCUCUGUCACCCAGGCUGGAGUAUUGUGGAAUCUGGUCAGCAGCCCACAGUGCAACGUGGCUCUCUCUUUGCUCUCAGG